AAAAUGAAAAGCAAGAGGGGUUAGAAACGAUAGAAGAGAUUUUCUUCACAAGAUAAGAAAGAAUGCUCCACAAAAUUGUCAACUAUUAAUCUUCAUUUAUUCCCCAUCCUGAGGGUAUUCUCUCAGCACGUUCGCCUUCUAUCUACUCCAAUUUUCAUCUAUAUAUCCAUAAUAUCUUGUGCCAAACCUUUUUCUCCUUCAUGUCUAAAGAUCAAGUAAUCUUGGAACAAACUCCAAAACAAGAUGUGAAAGAAGAAGAUAUUGGUACCAGGGUUUGGAUGGAAAACAACGAUGAAGGGUCCCGAACACCUACGUCUCAAGAACACAAGAUUUCGAAAACCAGGAUCUGCCCAUCGGCUCCAAGGAAGAAAAAAACCAGGUUCCUCCAUAAGAGAAAAUUUGAAAAUCUGAAGUUCUUUGAAGUUACUGGAGGUGAUGAGGAGAUGGAGCUGUUCUUUCAAUCAUUCACUGAGAGUGCUAGGGUUUCACCACCAGGUACCACUUCCAAGAGGAGACGUAUCAAUCAGUGAUUAAUUUUUUAAGCCAUAUGUUUUAAGGUUAUAUAUAGCAAUAUAUUUAAAUAGAUUAUAGAUCCAAAUGGAGAUUUAGGCUAUAAUUGUGAAUUUUUAGCUAAUCCUGAUGAAUAAUAAUCUAUUUUUUUCCUUUAUUCAUUAGGAAUAUAUAUGUAUAUGUUCCAAUAUUCAGGAG
rnacentral:lncRNA from 1 species